AACGCGAAGAACCUUACCUACCCUUGACAUCCUGCGAAUCUGGCUGAGAGGCUGGAGUGCCGAAAGGAGCGCAGAGACAGGUGCUGCAUGGCUGUCGUCAGCUCGUGUUGUGAGAUGUUGGGUUAAGUCCCGUAACGAGCGCAACCCUUGUCCUUAGUUGCCAUCAUUUAGUUGGGGACUCUAAGGAGACUGCCGGUGAUGAACCGGAGGAAGGCGGGGACGACGUCAAGUCAUCAUGGCCUUUAUGGGUAGGGCUACACACGUGCUACAAUGGGGCGUACAGAGGGUAGCCAACCCGCGAGGGGGAGCCAAUCUCAGAAAGCGUCUCGUAGUCCGGAUUGGAGUCUGCAACUCGACUCCAUGAAGUUGGAAUCGCUAGUAAUCGCGAAUCAGCAAUGUCGCGGUGAAUACGUUCCCGGGCCUUGUACACACCGCGAGC
rnacentral:rRNA from 1 species